rnacentral:rRNA from 1 species
UACGAAGGGGGCUAGCGUUGUUCGGAAUUACUGGGCGUAAAGCGUGCGCAGGCGGCUUCUCAAGUCAGGGGUGAAAGCCCAGAGCUUAACUCUGGAAUUGCCUUUGAGACUGAGAGGCUUGAGUACGGGAGAGGUGAGUGGAAUUCCCAGUGUAGAGGUGAAAUUCGUAGAUAUUGGGAAGAACACCGGUGGCGAAGGCGGCUCACUGGCCCGUAACAGACGCUCAUGCACGACAGCGUGGGGAUCAAACAGG